rnacentral:rRNA from 1 species
CCUACGGGGGGCUGCAGUAGGGAAUAUUGCUCAAUGGGGGAAACCCUGAAGCAGCAACGCCGCGUGGAGGAUGAAGGUUUUCGGAUUGUAAACUCCUUUUGUUAGAGAAGAUAAUGACGGUAUCUAACGAAUAAGCACCGGCUAACUCCGUGCCAGCAGCCGCGGUAAUACGGAGGGUGCAAGCGUUACUCGGAAUCCCUGGGCGUAAAGAGCGCGUAGGAGGGAUAGCAAGUCAGAUGUGAAAUCCUAUGGGUUAACCAUAGAACUGCAUUUGAAACUGUUAUUCUAGAGUAUGGGAGAGGUAGGUGGAAUUCGUGGUGUAGGGGUAAAAUCCGUAGAGAUCAAGAGGAAUACUCAUUGCGAAGGCGACCUGCUAGAACAUAACUGACGCUGAGGCGCGAAAGCGUGGGGAGCAAACAGGAUUAGAUACCCUUGUAGUC